UACGGAGGGUGCAAACGUUGCUCGGAAUCAUUGGGCGUAAAGCGCACGUAGGCGGUCCAGCAAGUCGGGUGUGAAAGCCCUCGGCUUAACCGAGGAAGUGCAUUCGAAACUACUGGACUUGAGUACUGAAGAGGAUCGCGGAAUUCCCGGUGUAGAGGUGAAAUUCGUAGAUAUUCGGAGGAACACCAGUGGCGAAGGCGGCUCACUGGUCCAUUACUGACGCUGAGGUGCGAAAGCGUGGGGAGCAAACAGG
rnacentral:rRNA from 1 species